AUACUCACUGUUAGAGAGAGUGUAUCACUCAGCAUCCGAUUAAGAUGCGCUGAAUAUCAGAAUCUCAACUCGUGAACCAAAAGAAACGCUAUGCAUGAGGAAAUUCAACAUCGACUCAAUGGCUGAAGAAUUAUCUCUGUUUAUUGGCCCAAUCAUUCUCCUGGAACAGCAGAGGCAUUGCCAACAGGUGGCUUAUCAGAAUGCACAGGCCCAUCUCUUUUAUCUCACCGAGGUUGUUUGCAAUCGCAGAGCACAGUGGAGCUCCCAGCACUGGAGAGGCUUCAGAGACACACAGGAGCCAGAAAGCAACAGACUUAAUGUGCAUUCCUUUUUUAUAUUACAUACACAAAUGCUAACUCUACCACAAUGUUAUCUCUACAUUCUCCUGAGCCUGGGGUAAAUAGGAAUAGAAAGAAUAAAACAUUAUUUGUCUAUGGGUAUAAA
rnacentral:lncRNA from 1 species